UACGUAGGGCGCAAGCGUUGUCCGGAAUUAUUGGGCGUAAAGAGCUCGUAGGCGGUUUGUCGCGUCUGCUGUGAAAACCUAAGGCUCAACCUUGGGCUUGCAGUGGGUACGGGCAGACUAGAGUGCGGUAGGGGUGACUGGAAUUCCUGGUGUAGCGGUGAAAUGCGCAGAUAUCAGGAAGAACACCCGUGGCGAAGGCGGUUCUCUGGGACGGUACUGACGCUGAGACGCGAAAGCGUGGGGAGCGAACAGG
rnacentral:rRNA from 1 species